rnacentral:tRNA from 1 species
GCCCGGGUGGCCGAGUGGUACAGGCGGCGGGCUGCAGACCCGCUCUACAGGGGUUCAAAUCCCCUCCCGGGCU